rnacentral:rRNA from 1 species
CAAUAGCGUAUAUUAAAGUUGUUGCAGUUAAAAAGCUCGUAGUUGGACUUCUGCGGGUGGCGGCCGGUCGUGCCCUUAUGUGGCGUGAACUUGGCUCUUUGCCGCCCGCAUCUUUGGGGAGAUUGUGCGUGGCAUUAGGUUGUCGUGCAUGGGAUUCUCAUCAUUUACUGUGAAAAAAUUAGAGUGUUUAAAGCAGGCCUUUGCCUUGAAUACAUUAGCAUGGAAUAAUAAGAUAGGACCGUUGUCUAUUUUGUUGGUUUACAGAUGUCGGUAAUGAUUAAUAGGGAUAGUUGGGGGUAUUCGUAUUCAGUUGUCAGAGGUGAAAUUCUUGGAUUUUCGGAAGACGCACGACUGCGAAAGCAUUUACCAAGGAUGUUUUCAUUA